GAUGAACGCUGGCGGCGUGCCUAAUACAUGCAAGUCGAGCGAACGGACGAGAAGCUUGCGUCUCAGAUGUUAGCGGCGGACGGGUGAAUAACACGUGGAUAACCUAACUAUAAGACGGAGAUAACGUCGGGAAACCGGAGGUAAGACAGGAUAAUAGUUUGAACCGCAUGGUUCAAAAGUGAAAGAGAGUCUUGCUGUCACGUGUAGAUGGAUCCGCGCUGCAUUAGCUAGUUGGUCAGGUAACGGCUUACCAAGGCAACGAUGCAUAGCCGACCGGAGAGAGGGAUCGGCCACGCUAGGACUGAGACACGGUCCACACUCCGACGGGGGGCCGCAGUAGAGUCUCUUCCGCUAGGGGCGAAGGCCUGACUGAGCAACGCCGCGAGAGUGAAGAAGGUCUUCGGAUCGGAAAGCUCUGUUCCUUGGGAAGAACAUAUGUGUAAGUCCCUGUGCACAUCUUGACUGCCCCUAAACAGAGCGCCGCCGAUCUCCACG
rnacentral:rRNA from 1 species